AGGUCUUUUUGGAAAGAUUUGGGUUUUUUUCACAUAUUGUUUUUUUAGCUUUAUCUUUCCAUGGAAAAUCAGAGUUCUUCAGAUGACUCUACAGACUUAAUAAAUAUUUGUGAAUUUGAACCAUCAUUCAUGCCACGUUUUCCACUAGCCUGGAUAAAUCUUGAUAUAAGGCAAGCCAUCCUUCAAGCAGAUGAAAACCACCGGAAAACACGUGAGCAGUUGCCCAGGGGUCCCAAUUAUUCAAUGAGAAGUGAAGUGGUCAGGCUGAAGAAGACUUUAUUGGAU